CGUACAAGGUACCAACUCGGACACAGAGGUUCUUCAAUAUUUCCUUUGGGAAACUAAGUGUCUGAUCUCCAUUGUGUUUGUGCUCGUAGAUCCCGGUUCUUCACUUAGUGGAAUCUGGGAGUUGUAAAACUCCUCCAUGUUUUGUUUGAAGUGUACCUAUUCAUGGAGACAAGGCAGAGAUCAAGUGCAUGGGCCCUGUUGGUGGAAAACACCAACAGAACCAAAAGUGUAUUUGUUCUUCUCUAACCUUAAGCAUAGUGAGCAAGGCAAAGUUGAUGGAUCAUGAGUGUAGCAUUUAAAACAUUUGUUAGAUCAGAUGGCUCAACCUAAUGGAAAGAUAAUCUAUCUAUAUUUAUGUUUUGUUUAUAUCUUCCAAAGAUUGAAUGUGCAAUACUUUAGCUUAUAUGAUUAGGAGUGUGGGAUCACGAAGGUAGUACUAAGAACAAAGAUUAAAGGACUAAACAUGCUGAAUUAAUUGAGUUGGUUAAUUUGGAGUUAUAAAUCAUACAUGUUUGUCUCUUUUAUUCAUGUGUAUGCCAGAACCAAGGAGAACUUAUAAAAGUGAUAAUCAAGUACUUUAAGAUGUUAUUGAAGAGUGAUGGUAUAGUAUCACCUUGUGGAAGCUUUCCUUUCUUAG
rnacentral:lncRNA from 1 species